GGUCUCAUAGCUCAGUGGUGAGAGCGCGGGCCUUAUGAACCCGAGGGCGCCAGUUCAAUUCUGGCUGUGACCA
rnacentral:tRNA from 1 species